rnacentral:rRNA from 1 species
AUUGAACGCUGGCGGCAUGCUUUACACAUGCAAGUCGAACGGUAACAGGCCGCAAGGUGCUGACGAGUGGCGAACGGGUGAGUAAUGCAUCGGAACGUGCCCAGUCGUGGGGGAUAACGCAGCGAAAGCUGUGCUAAUACCGCAUACGAUCUAUGGAUGAAAGCGGGGGACCGUAAGGCCUCGCGCGAUUGGAGCGGCCGAUGUCAGAUUAGGUAGUUGGUGGGGUAAAGGCCUACCAAGCCGACGAUCUGUAGCUGGUCUGAGAGGACGACCGGGCAGACUGGGACUGGGACACGGCCCAGACUCCUACGGGAGGCAGCAUUGGGGAAUUUUGGACGAUGGGCGCAAGCCUGAUCCAGCAAUGCCGCGUGCAGGAAGAAGGCCUUCGGGUUGUAAACUGCUUUUGUACGGAACGAAACGGUCUGGGUUAAUACCCUGGGCUAAUGACGGUACCGUAAGAAUAAGCACCGGCUAACUACGUGCCAGCAGCCGCAGUAAGAC